UGGGGAAUAUUGGACAAUGGGCGGAAGCCUGAUCCAGCAAUGCCGCGUGGGUGAAGACGGCCUGCGGGUUGUAAAGCCCUUUAGGUGGGGAAGAAGUUAGCCUGAUGAAGAAUGAGGCGAAUUGACAUUACCCACGGAAUAAGCACCGGCUAACUCCGUGCCAGCAGCCGCGGUAAUACGGAGGGUGCGAGCGUUAAUCGGAAUGACUGGGCGUAAAGCGUGCGUAGGUGGUUGCGUUAGUCAGUCGUGAAAGCCCUGGGCUUAACCUGGGAAUGGCGAUUGAGACGGCGUAACUGGAGUGGGUGAGAGGAUGGUGGAACUCCUGGUGUAGCGGUGAAAUGCGUAGAGAUCAGGAAGAACACCGAUGGCGAAGGCAGCCGUCUGGUGCCACACUGACGCUGAGGCACGAAAGCGUGGGGAGCAAACA
rnacentral:rRNA from 1 species